AGUGAUGAAAAGGGGGAAGUAGAGGGAGAAAUAAUGAACGGGCGAAGAGGGAAAGCAAAGGAAGGGAGAAGGGAAAGUGAUGAGAGAGAGAGAGAGAGAGAGAGAGAGAGAGAGAGAGAGAGAGCACUGUCACUCGGUCAACACGGAAGCGGAUAAAGUAAGUAGACUGUCUUACUUCCUGAAUCUGUGUGUGUGUGUGUGUGUGUGUGUGUGUGUGUGUUGCGAUGUCACAUUUCACCAAGUGGACCCAAGAAAAAGAUUAAUAGAGGUGGGGGAGAGGAGUUGCUGACAGAGGAUGGAGGAGGAGAAGAGAAGAAGGGGAAAGAAGCAGGAGGUGGAGGCGGAGAAGGAAGAAAAAGAAGAAUAAAGUAACCAAAUGGAAAGAAAAGGAAGAAAAUAAGAAAGAUAAAUACAACCAUGAAAUAUUGUUGGGAGAUUAAAAAGAAUAUACAAAACAAUAAAGAUAAUGGCAAUAAUAAUAGUAAUACCAUCAACGACAAGGACAACGAUAAGAAUAGGUGAAGAUAAUGACAACUCCCAGACAACGAAUCCCAUCGAGGAAUUCUAAGAUGCUGAGUCACACACACACACACACACACACACGGCCAACCAACGAGCCAGCCAGGGAGGGAGGGAGAGAGGGAACCACCACGCACCCAUCUCUCUCUCUCUCUCUCUCUCUCUCUCUCUCUCUCUCUCACUGUCGCCAUCUCGUCUCCUACCCACUCUUGGCACCAGUAAGACGAGUGUUUAUGGCUGCAAGGGAGAACUGAUGACAAAGGGUGUCACUUCGCAUGUGGGCCAGAAUGCACGCGGAAGGAAAUGGACGUGGCCGUUUGACAUUAAUAAGGACAAUAUGCUCAAACGUUUCGGCGCCCAUCAAACACUUCACAAGGGUAUCGUAGAAUUUCUGGGUAUUUCCAUGAGUUGUUUUAUGGCCCCGGUGGUAGUCUGACUUUUUCUUUACCAUUAACCCGGCAGCAGCGGGGACCAUGUUUCUAAAUGGUCCUUCUAAGCGAGAAAAAUGAGAAAAAAUCACCACUCGCACAAACCAUUUCAUAGUACAUAUCAAAGCAUUUGCGAUCAGUUUAUGCAUCAUCUAUUUUGGAGGGUUUAUAUCAUGGCACAAAUUUGGAUCGUCGCUGAAACACGGGAAAGCCACGAAUUUGGCCCGUCGCUGCUACCGGGUUAACUCCCUCCCCCCAUCCCACCUCCCAAAAGAGCCCAGUAGAACCGAUUGAUCUUCUUUUCGGCCUUUGGAACUAGUUGAUGUGAAAGGCGUAAGCGUUUGAAAAUACCGACCUAAGAUCUGUAAGGUUUGCGAUGACUGGUGUAUAUGUAAAACUAAGGCAAUAUAAGUAGUGGUCAAUUUCUACUAUGACUGAUUUCUUAAAGAGGCUACAUAAAAGUUAUAUCAGGAGAUUCAAUAAAAAAAGAAAAUAAGUAAAGUUAUAUCAGGAGAUUCAAUAAAAAAAGAAAAUAAGUAAAGUUAUAUCAGGAGAUUCAAUAAAAAAAGAAAAUAAGUAAAGUUAUAUCAGGAGAUUCAAUAAAAAAGAAAAUAAGUAAAGUUAUAUCAGGAAAUUCAAUAAAAAAUGAAAAUCAGUAAAGUUAUAUCAGAAUUAAUAAAAAAAGAAAGUAAGUAUAGCGUAAAUGAAUGGUUUUGCAUCUCGAUUUACGCAUUUAUUUCCAGAACCAGCCGCGUAAUUUAAAACAAAAAAUCGGUAAGAAUCGUAAGUAUUGUAAGUAUUCAAGAGGGUUUUGCAGCUCGAUUCAUGUGUUCAGAUUUUCUAAAGGGGCCGCGUAAAAAUUCUAUCGUGUAAUUCAAAUAUAAUAGAAUAUGUAUGGAGAGCAAAUGAAGGGUUUGUAGUUAAUAAUAGCCAUCAGUCUCUUAAACACUGUUGCCAGCACGGAAAACAAAGCGACCUGAUAAAAGCUACCGCUGGGUUGUUGAUGACCUACUUUCCGUAAAUAGUAUUAAUGGCCACUAUGAUGCAGGAGUUUAAUAGCAAUCAGUCUCUGUAAUAUUGUUGCCAACACAGAAAAAGUGACCUACAAAAGUUACUUCCGCCUUGAUGAACCUUUUGCCACACACUAUUAAUGACUAUUGUAUAACGAAGGAGUUUAAUUGACAUCAUUCUCUGUAAUAUUGUUGCCAGCACGGACAAGUCAACCAGGAAAGCUACAAUCGAGUUAUAUAACAUUGUUGUCACCACGAACAAGACCAGGAAAGCUACAAGACAACCAGGAGAGCUACAAUCGUAUUAUAUAAUAUUGUUGCCAACACGGACAAGACCAGGCCUGCAGAGAAGUAACAAUCGUGUUCAUGUGUUGGGGUUCGUUUCUUAAAACACUAUUAAUAUUCCCUGUAUAGUGCUUUUUAGGUAAGAAAUUUGAGAAAACCAUGCGAUAAAUCUUUUUUUUUUUGUGUGUGUGUGAUGGGUCGAAAACCUAACUGUUAUAGAUUGUAUGGGAUUGUAGAGUUUGGCUCGGGCAGUUACAAAGAAACUGUGUUGAACCGCGUGGAAUUAACUCGUGAUCUACAGGAAGGAUCCCCCAGCUCAUGGACACCGUGGCAGCUCUUCCGGGGUCGUUUCUCCCAAGGUGACAAUGGUACAGGAGAUGAUGAACCUUAGUCUCCUACACGAUUGAAAGGCCGCUCACUUAAAAGUGUUUGGUUUGGGGGCUUACAAACUUGCUGUGCCAAACUGUGAAACUGGCCGCAUAUUUAAGACCAUUAUAGCUCUUUCAGGCAGGAGACAAGAGUAAUCGUAAUCUGUCUCUAUAGUAAAGGACGCCAAGACGACCAUGAAAAACCGUCACUGUGUUGAUGUGUUGGCCUUGCAAAAAAAAAAAAGUGCAAAACAAUGGGUAAAGUUAUAUAAAUUCAGGUUAAGGAGAGCGGGAGAACUAGUUUACAAAUAGGGGAAGUGGACGAAGGGAAAGAAGUUAGUAGUCAUGUAGAUGGUGCAAAUACGACUGAGGGUUUCAAAUGGAGGUUAUAAAUAUGGUCGGUAUUAUAAAACACCUUCGCUUCUCACAUCAGCUAUUUCUAAAGGUCAAAGAGGGGGUCAGUCGGGUUCUAAUGAAUGUUUCUUUAGGUUCACGGUACAGAAGAAGGGUCAAUCUACCACCAGGGUCUUCAAACUACCCCUGGAAAGGCCCACAGCUCCUACGAAAGCCUUGUCAAAUAUGUGUGCUUGGGCGACGAAGUGAAUUAUAAUACAACCCUAUAGAUUUAUGGAUAGCAAGGGCAGAGGUUAAUAGCUGGUUCUCAGGAGCUGCCAAGUGUAAACAAACUGGCCUCUUGCAGUCUCCUUACAUACUUGAGCAGCUUUGUGUACUCCUAUCGAUAAAUGUGCUAAGUGGGCAACCUCUCAAUUUGUGGUUUUUCUAUCACAUGUUACUGAGAACGGGGUCAAGGUUAAUUCGUAAGCCAGCUGCGUCAUUAUCAUUUAUCGAGCGAGGGAAUGUGUGCCGCGCGGUCCGUCAUAAGAAGCACCUGAAUAAACAAGGUAUUGAGUGUAUUGGACAGCCACGCACGCAGGAACACACACUGGCGACGGCUGACUGGGAAAGGAGAACGAUGCCAAGGUGGAGGUAAAACAGAAUUGUGGCACGGCGCUCUGAAUGAACCCCAGAGUAACAGAAGAAUAUAUGAUGCUCUCCUCUCAGUGAAAGCACCAUGUAGUUGUUCUUGUUCUGUACUGGACUUAACCCGUUCGCUGCGAUUGGCACGGAUUUCACCUUCACUGGUAGCCUGGUAACACAUACUCCCAGGUCUUUCUCUGCCUCUGUGGUGGGUAGUGGAGUGUUUCCCAUGUGGUAUUGGUGUGCUGGAUAUCCCCUCUCAAGGUGCAGGACUUCACAUUUUUCUUCAUUGAAUUGUAGCAGCCACUUUUUGUUCCAUUCCUGUAGCUUGGUGAUGUCUUCUGGUAGGAAAUCCGCAGUCAAGGGGUUAAGAUAACGACCCCAGGAAAGGAAAACGAAGCCAAGGUAGAGAUCGAAAAUAGCAGUGGAAUGGAGCCUUGAAUGAAACGAAGUAAGGAAAGAAUAUGAUGUUCCCCUCACAUUAAAAAAGAAAAGAAAAAAAGAAAAAGAAACCCACCAUUAAGGGCAUGUAUUUUUUUUUUUUUGUACAUAUCAUAAAACUAACGACCCUGGGAAAGGAAAACGAUGCCAAGAUAAAGACGGAGAAUAGCAGUGUGGCACGGAGCCUUGAAGCAAACGAAGUGUAGAAGAAUAUGCUGUUUCCCUUACAUUAAAGCACCAUUUAGGGCAUAUACCUGUAUUUGUUCUGUUGGGGAUAAAACUAACGACACUACUAGGUUGGUAUUAUAAGACUCUUUCGCUCCUCAUAUUAACUAUUUCUAAAGGUUAAAGAGGGAAUCAGCCGAGUUCUAAUGAGUGGCUCUUUAGGUCCAUGGUGCAGAAGAAGGGUCAGACUGCCACCAGGGUCAUAAAACUACUUCUGGAAAUGCCCAAAGCUCCUACGAAAGCCUUGUCAAAUAGGUGAACUUUGGCGACGGAAUGUUUAGUAAUACGGUCCUGUAAGAAUGUAAAGCGAUGGGUAAAAGAAGAAGAACAGCCUUGAAUCAAACUCGAAGUGAUGGAAAAUUAUGCUGUUCCCCUCAUUAAAAACUUUAUUUACAGCAUGUAGUUUUUCUUGUUCUUGUACCGAGGAUAAAACUAACGACUCUGGGAAUAGAAAACGAUGCCAAGGUGGAGAAGGAGAACAAAACUGUGGGAUGGAGUUGUCGAUGUUAGUUAAAGCAAAGGCCGGCAGAAUAUGUUGCCUUUUUCUCAUUCGGAUCAGCAUUUCGUAGGAGUUUCUUAGGCUUUACAAUGCUACCAUCACUCAUUAUGUUGAUACGAGUCUUUGUUAUACUCAUUAAAAAAAACGAAAAAGACGCCACACGAUAAAACAUGAGUCUGUGAUCCUCAUAAAAAAACGAAAAAGAUGCCACACGAUAAAACA